rnacentral:rRNA from 1 species
AUACGGAGGGUCCAAGCGUUAUCCGGAAUCAUUGGGUUUAAAGGGUCCGCAGGCGGUCAAUUAAGCCAGAGGUGAAAGCCCAUCGCUCAACGAUGGAACUGCCUUUGAUACUGGUUGACUUGAGUUAUACGGAAGUAGAUAGAAUAAGUAGUGUAGCGGUGAAAUGCAUAGAUAUUACUUAGAAUACCGAUUGCGAAGGCAGUCUACUACGUAUAUACUGACGCUGAGGGACGAAAGCGUGGGGAGCGAACAGGAUUAGAAACCCUAGUAGUCC